rnacentral:rRNA from 1 species
AUUGAACGCUGGCGGCAGGCCUAACACAUGCAAGUCGAGCGCGCGGCGGACGGGUGCGAGAUGUAUGGGGACUGCCCGAUAUAGGGGGAUAACUACUGGAAACGGUGGCUCAUAACGCGUACUCUCCGAUCACCCAUAUGGGAUUAGCUAUUAGGUAAGGUAAUGGCUUACCUAGGCGACGAUCCCUAGCUGGUCUGAGAGGAUGAUCAGCCACACGGGGACGUAGAGACUGCCCAGAAGACUACGGAGGCAGCAUGGGGGUAUAUUGCACAAUGGGCGCAAGCCUGAAGCAGCCAUGCCGGGUGUAUGAAGAAGGCCUGAGGGUUGUAAAGUACCUUAAGUGGGGAGGCGUUAGCGACAGAAGAAGCACCGGCUAACGCCGAGCCAGCAGCCGCGGUAAUUC